AGGCUGUGCCUUAUUGCCACUCUCUUCAAGGUGCAGGCUGCUUCCAGGACGUACUCAAGGUAGUGCUGGAGAGUGAACCUCAACACUUGUGGAUUCUCAGAGAGGUCUGGAUAAUCGUCAGAAGAUGGUGUGUGUGGAGCUGCGCAUGGAGAAUGCUGUAUCCACAGAGCCUGCUGUUGGUGUCCUGGUCUGCUCUCACGUGCCUGUUCUUUGGAGAUCAGGAAGGAAUUCAGUUGGGGCUGAAUGGCAAGCUGUGCCACUGUAUUGUUGGUAGAUCACCACCCUUGUAAGAAAAUAAAAAUACCCACCAUACACCAUGAAGGAACCUCCUUUUGAUCUUCUCUGAGUAUGUAGGUCACUUAAUGUGAAUAGGAUUUAGAAGCCAUUUUUACAGCACUUGGUUUUUAUUUGCCACAAAAUGCUCAUGGUGGAUGCUAUAAAAAACAAAAGUUUUAAAUAGACCUAAGCUUUUAUCUCCAUUUGUGUAUCAUAUGGAAUACCUUAUUUGUACUGAUAGGUUUUUGUUCAAGAUCUCCCUGUGUCAGGAAAUUUUUUGUUCUGAUAGACCUCGCUCAAUUAUCUUCAACACAAAAAGAGACAGAGCAUGUCUCCAACUUUAUGCUGCCCAGGGAGGAGAAGUUAAUAUUAAUUAGCCUAUAAGGCCUGUGCAGUAAGUCCAAAGUUCAUUUCACAUCAGCCUUUUCUCUGGUACCAAAUUAUGCACUACCACAUUGGUGCCUGUUGCACACCUGAAACAGAAAAAAAUCCCUCCAUUGCUCUUUAAUGGAUAAGGCAGGGCUGUUUUUAAGCACUGGAUUGCCAAAGCGCUCAGUGUGCAACUGACUGGAAACUCAGCUGAACUUCUUGCUGAAAAAUGUCACUGCGAUAUUUCUAGAGUUUGGCAUUUGGAGUCUCUAGACACAAUAAGCACAUCCCUCUGUGACUCAGAUCUUUGUCUUGGUUCUAUAGGAGGUUAAAAUGGAGAGCGUAAUAUGUGACAUCAAGAAAAGUUCUAAGUGUAACUAAGGCUCUAGACACCUUCACAAAACACAUACAACUCUCUGAUUUGGAGCAGUGUUUUUAGCAAAAUGAUGGCCACCUCAGGUGAUAGAGAGGACAUCCUGAGAGCAUGUCUGAUUCUUUGCAUCGUCUCCCACACAGAUUAGCCUGACCCUCUGGAGCAGCUGCACAUUCAUAAAGUCUUCAUCAAGUCUUUGAAUACUUGCUGAAGAGAGCUUUGCUCAUAAACAAAACAAAGCAGUAGGACCAGUUUUGGUCUUUGGGAAGCUCCCUACAUACCCUGGUCACACAGGUAUUUUGCCCUCUUAAAGACAAGACUUUAACUAGUUUUAGCUGCAUCAAAGCAAUCAGAUUCUUUUUGCUGUUUAUAGGUAUGCAUGACCUUCACUAUUCUGCUUACUUUUGUCUUGGUUAUAACAAAUAUUUUAAUCUUCACCCAUUUUUAGUGUUCAUUUAAAAAUCUUCAGUAAUAAAAACAGCACAUGAAAAA
ensembl:lncRNA